rnacentral:misc_RNA from 1 species
UGCCUUACAUGCAGACCAACACGUGAAUCAGUUUGAACACAUAGGGCUGGUUUGAGGUGUUCAACACCUCGGCUUGCCUCUGGUUCGGUGGAUGACGACUUGUGCGUCCUCCUCUGGGCCAAAACACAAACCCCGGCGCUGAAUGCGUCAAGGAAUUUAAAAUUUGUUCUGAGCGCACCUGCAUGCCACCGGAGACGGUUUUCGUGCGGGUUGUGUUCCGACCCUAAUAU